AGGAUGCUGAGACCACAAUAGGUAGUUACUUUAUUGUGACAUUAUUUUUAUUUCUCCUCUCUUACCCUUUUCUUUGUAGUUUGCUAUCUGAUCACAAAAUAUAAUCUGAUACAAAUAUGAAUAUUGGCUUAUUUUCUUCACAUGCCAAUAUGGAGGUUAUUCUUGUAUAACUACUGUACCCACCAAAACAGCUCCCAACCUUUUGUCCCUAAGUUACUUGCAUUUUAUGUGAAGGUGUAUUUUGAAUCUUGAUGAGUUAAUACCCUUAUUGUUUCGUUUGCAAGGAUCUUUUAAUAUUACAGAAUGUGAUGUUGACAAUUUUUAUUUUUUUAGUGUUUGAUUAAUGUGUAAUUAAAAGGGGGGAGUGUUAUGGGAAAAAUUGUGUCUUCCUUACUUCUACUAUAUGAUUUAUGACUUAUGUUUUGCAAUUAAUAUCUUAUAUAAUAUCGGGGAGUUGUGUCUCUGUCUGUUGAGACGUGCUCCUUUCUCACAGAUAGUUGGACAUCAGCAAUGCAAGUGUAAGAAUGUAAACAUCUUCACACAUACUGUAAUAGGGAAGACAGGGUGCAUGUAAUUUGAUUGGGCCACACAGACGUUCCACUGCAGUCGGACAGAGAGGUUAAAAGGCAGAAGCAACUUGAGGAUUGUGGGCUCUUUGCAUCACAGCUUCGUGGUGUGUGCACUAAUCCCCCCAGCUGGUUUUUGGUUUGUUGAUGUGCACGAUCAACAUCCAUGCUUUUUAUUUGCUUUCCCCAUUAUUUUUUAUUUUCUUUAUUAUUUCAAUAAAUCGCACAAAAGGACAACUCUCUCUCAUCUGCUUCUUUAUGGAAAAUUUCCACCACAGCUGGUCAUUAGGAAAAAAGUAAUCCAAGACCCUACGCAGGAUUUCAGUUGUCCACCUCCUCCUGAUCUUUUUAACACCACAAGACUUUUUGCAACCGUUUGACCUAUAAUAACACAUCAAAGUGUAACACUUGAUCAGAUAGAAAGCAACUUGAGUGGUCAAUUUUUAACUUGUAGUUAAUACUAGGCACAAAUGACUGAACACACUCAUUAUUCG
rnacentral:lncRNA from 1 species